UGGGGAAUUUUGGACAAUGGGCGAAAGCCUGAUCCAGCAAUGCCGCGUGUGUGAAGAAGGCCUUCGGGUUGUAAAGCACUUUUGUCCGGAAAGAAAUCCUUGGCUCUAAUACAGUCGGGGGACGACGGUACCGGAAGAAUAAGCACCGGCUAACUACGUGCCAGCAGCCGCGGUAAUACGUAGGGUGCAAGCGUUAAUCGGAAUUACUGGGCGUAAAGCGUGCGCAGGCGGUUUGCUAAGACCGAUGUGAAAUCCCCGGGCUCAACCUGGGAACUGCAUUGGUGACUGGCAGGCUAGAGUAUGGCAGAGGGGGGUAGAAUUCCACGUGUAGCAGUGAAAUGCGUAGAGAUGUGGAGGAAUACCGAUGGCGAAGGCAGCCCCCUGGGCCAAUACUGACGCUCAUGCACGAAAGCGUGGGGAGCAAAACAGGAUUAGAUACCCUGGUAGUCCACGCCCUAAACGAUGUCAACUAGUUGUUGGGGAUUCAUUUCCUUAGUAACGUAGCUAACGCGUGAAGUUGACCGCCUGGGGAGCACGGUCGCAAGAUUAAAACUCAAAUGAAUUGACGGGGUCAUAGCUGUUUCCU
rnacentral:rRNA from 1 species